CUAGUUCCGAUUUCUUCAUCAUUUUCUAGAUUUAUGGUUAUGUGUUUUGUUUUCUCUUAUCUAAAUUGCAAAUCUGGAUUUCUAGUUCAAUGUUUCUGUGUUUUGUUUUCUGAAAUUUUGCAUUUUCAAUUUGCAGAUUUGAAUCUCUUUUUUACAUUUUCUUUGGUUUCAGAUCUGAUAUUAUAGUUACAUCAUAUUGUUUUGCUUACUUUUAUUGAUUUUCGAUCGCAUCAUUGUUUCUUCACCUUCUCGGAGAGAUUUAUUCUACGAUGAUGUGUGACUUCCUUUUGGGGUAUUUGUCGUUCAUUUCAGAAAUUUUUCAUUACUUCAAUCACGAUCGUAAAAUCUAUCCCAUUUGAAUUUCAGGUUGUUCAACAUUUUAUAGGUUUUUAAUUUUAGUUUCUUCAAUUGCAUCUUUCACCAAUUAUGUAUGUUCAUUUUUUAGGGAUUCUUAAUUUCUUAUAAUUUCUCUCAGAAAAACCAAAGCGCUCUCUUGAUGUCAACCGAAGUAAUGACUCUAAGAGUCCCGUUCAGCCGCCACAAAUCGUCGCUGUAAGAUGUACAUAACCAGACAUGUUCAUGAUUGUGAGUCAUUAGCUAAGAAAGCUGAUGGUUCUCAAGGUAUGGUGGUGCUCCACGAGUUUAUUCUAUGGAUGAUUAUUUUAUGAUUAAGUUUUGGCAAGAAACAGAUAAAGCAACUUAUCUUUUGAGGCAACAUUUCUUCCAUAAAUUGCAUGAUCGAGAAUAGAAGGACAAUACCAUUUGCCUGGAACCUCAUUACAGCUGGUUACGUUGAACAAACUGUACAUGGGGUAGAUAUCAACAUAAUUUGUCUUCUAUUCAUUGGCAAGCUACUUGAACCAGUAUGGGGUCCCAGGGAAUUUCUAAAGUUCAUCUUUAUAGUUAACUUCUGUGUGCAUUUUCAUCACCACUAUUACUUUAUACUACAUUACAAGACAGGAGAUUUAUCUCUUAAUACAGGACCAUUUGAAGUUUGAUUACUUGGUCUCUAUUUGCUUCAACACUAGAAAACAUUGUUGGUCAAGUAUUUAUGAAGCUAAAUUUAAAUAUUGAAAAUUUGAAACAAGCCUUGGAGUAAGUUAUAUAAUAUGUUGUCUUUUAAAGUCAUAUUAGAUGCUAUGCGUGCCAUUUGCACAGUAUUGUUAAUUUAUCUUUAUACUUUUGCAAUGCUCUAGUUAUACACCACUUUCUGGAUUUCAUGGAGUUAUAUCUGGCUUCUUGGUUAGCAUCAAACAAAUUAUACCAGAUCAAGAGAUUCCUUUCCUCAAGAUAAAAAUGAAGGUUUUACUAUGCCAGAGUGCUUUCCAGGAGAUACUUAAGCAAAUGAUGAACAGGCAGUCAUCUGAUGAUGCAUGUGUUACUUCUGGAGAACUUUUGGAAGAGAUCGUUGCCAAAGAAAGCGCAAGUCUCAUGAAGGACUCACGAAGGAAAAGAGAGGACAUAGGCAAAGGCUUAGUUCAUGAUCAAUAUCAACUAAGGGAUGCAAAGACUGGAAAAGUGAUGCAAAGGCUUAGAACUUGAU